UUCUCUCUUACAUUUUCUUGUUUCCCCUGCAAAUGCUGAUCUCCAAGACCGAAAUCCCAUUGUCAUUUUCCCUUUCGCCAAUCACAAAACUCGACCCUUAAUCAAAUACAAUGAAUUGAAUUCCCAGAACUCUUUCCACCUCGGUACAUAUCAGAAAGAAAAAAUGGGUGCUUUUUUAAAGCCAAGUUCAGCCUCUGGGAUGCUUCUUCCCCAGUCCCCUGUUGUUUCUCUAGGCAGACCACUUGGGCAGUUUCCUUUAAUCUUGGGAGGCUCUUCUAACAGGAAAAGGAGGAAUUUACUUACCGGCAAUUGGCGGUGCGGGCGGAGAAUAAUUGCUGCCUCAAAUAGGGUGUGUGUACUGAUGCAUAUUGGAUUAUUGU